rnacentral:rRNA from 1 species
UACAUGGGGUGCAAACGUUGCUCGGAAUUAUUGGGCGUAAAGCGCACGUAGGCGGUCCGUUAAGUCGGAUGUGAAAGCCCCCGGCUCAACCGGGGAAGUGCAUCCGAAACUGGCAGGCUAGAGUACGAAAGAGGGUCGCGGAAUUCCCGGUGUAGAGGUGAAAUUCGUAGAGUAUCGGGAGGAACACCGGGUGGCGAAGGCGGGCGAACCUGGGUCCGAUACUGACG